rnacentral:tRNA from 1 species
UCCCUGGUGGCUCAGUGGUAAAGAAUCCACCUGCCAAUGCAGGAGACACAGGUUCGAUUCCUGUUCAGGGAA